rnacentral:rRNA from 1 species
GGAAUAUUGCACAAUGGGGGAAACCCUGAUGCAGCAACGCCGCGUGAGUGAAGAAGUCAUUCGUGAUGUAAAGCUCUAUCAGCAGGGAAGAAAAUGACGGUACCUGACUAAGAAGCCCCGGCUAACUACGUGCCAGCAGCCGCGGUAAUACGUAGGGGGCAAGCGUUAUCCGGAUUUACUGGGUGUAAAGGGAGCGUAGACGGUGAUGCAAGUCAGAAGUGAAAGCCCGGGGCUCAACUCCGAGACUGCUUUUGAAGCUGUGUAACUGGAGUGCAGGAGAGGUAAGCGGAAUUCCUGGUGUAGCGGUGAAAUGCGUAGAUAUCAGGAGGAACACCAGUGGCGAAGGCGGCUUACUGGACUGCAACUGACGUUGAGGCUCGAAAGCGUGGGGAGCAAA